UUAACACCUUAAAUUUUACGAAUGAUUAGUACCCAGAAGCACCGUUCGGGCUUAGAACUGCCAUUUACUAUUUGCCAUUCGACCUUUGCACUGACAACCUUUUUUGAAAUAGGUGUAUUCAAAAGCUAUUUAUGCUGACAACCAAUUCCCAGUAAGUUACGUAAUAAUUCGAAUAAGCGCCCCUCUCUCUCCCCAAAGACCCGGAAAAUUAGGUAAGACCGUGUAAGUAACUGAGUAAAAUUAGGUAAGACCGUGUAAGUAACUGAGUAAAAUUAGGUAAGACCGUGUAAGUAACUGAGUAAAAUUACGUAAGACCGUGUAAGUAACUGAGUAAAAUUACGUAAGACCGUGUAAGUAACUGAUUAAAAUUACGUAAGACCGUUUAAGUAACUGAGUAAAAUUAGGUAAGACCGUGUAAGUAACUGAGUAAAAUUACGUAAGACCGUGUAAGUAACUGAGUAAAAUUACGUAAGACCGUGUAAGUAACUGAGUAAAAUUACGUAAGACCGUGUAAGUAACUGAGUAAAAUUAGAUAAGACCGUGUAAGUAACUGAGUAAAAUUAGAUAAGACCGUGUAAGUAACUGAGUAAAAUUAGGUAAGACCGUGUAAGUAACUGAGUAAAAUUAGGUAAGACCGUGUAAGUAACUGAGUAAAAUUAGAUAAGACCGUGUAAGUAACUGAGUAAAAUUAGGUAAGACCGUGUAAGUAACUGAGUAAAAUUAGGUAAGACCGUGUAAGUAACUGAUUAAAAUUACGUAAGACCGUGUAAGUAACUGAGUAAAAUUACGUAAGACCGUGUAAGUAACUGAGUAAAAUUAGGUAAGACCGUGUAAGUAACUGAGUAAAAUUACGUAAGACCGUGUAAGUAACUGAGUAAAAUUACGUAAGACCGUGUAAGUAACUGAGUAAAAUUAGGUAAGACCGUGUAAGUAACUGAGUAAAAUUACGUAAGACCGUGUAAGUAACUGAGUAAAAUUACGUAAGACCGUGUAAGUAACUGAGUAAAAUUAGGUAAGACCGUGUAAGUAACUGAGUAAAAUUAGGUAAGACCGUGUAAGUAACUGAGUAAAAUUAGGUAAGACCGUGUAAGUAACUGAGUAAAAUUAGGUAAGACCGUGUAAGUAACUGAGUAAAAUUAGGUAAGACCGUGUAAGUAACUGAGUAAAA